rnacentral:rRNA from 1 species
UACGGAGGGUGCAAGCGUUGCUCGGAAUUACUGAGCGUAAAGGGCGUGUAGGCGGCCUCGUAUGUCUGACGUGAAAGCCCCGGGCUUACCCCGGGAAGUGCGUUGGAAACUGCGAGACUAGAGUCCCGGAGAGGAAGGUGGAAUUCCAGGUGUAGUGGUGAAAUGCGUAGAUAUCUGGAAGAACACCGGUGGCGAAGGCGGCCUUCUGGACGGUGACUGACGCUGAGACGCGAAAGCGUGGGGAGCAAACAGG